AUUGGGAGGUCUAACCUCCCGCACUUUGAAUUAUAUUUCUUUUCAGGGUAUUACCGAUAUUAUACUAGUUUUCUUUAUCAUCGAGUGUGCAUUUGUACACACUUCCUGUUAUUCCAUCCACAAUGGAUGUAUACAUACCAGAGAUUGUUGUCCUUCAUAUUAUAUAUACGUAUUGAUCCUUCUAAAUGGAGGUAACCAAUCGCAACAUUCAAUUGUUAUCCCUAAUGUCCUUGUUAACU